UCGAGGGCGCAGCCUGGGAAACCUCUCUCCGCCCACCGAAAUCUGGCUGCGGGGAGAUGGUCAGAUGCCUUGGGAUAGGGGUCCCACCUUUUCCCUCCCUAUCUAUCAAAACAUAAUCCUGAGGGUACGCCCAGUCGGAGGGACCAGGAGAAGGGCCGAAGGACAACCAGAGGGGACCAGAAAAGACAAAUGAAAUUUAGCCGCCAAGAAGGGAUGGCGGGCAUCUGGGCGUGAAAAUGGCAAAGUCCGGGGCGCAAAAUCUAGGGAUCCGAGUGCGACCUCCCAGGACUCCAAGGCUCCGCAGAGGGUAUCAUGUGCAUGAGAGGAGCCUAAACUGGGAGGAAGAUUCUCAUCAAGUCAUAGAAGGGUAAAAAACACACAUCUUGGACUAGAUAAAUGCACGCAGAGCUGUCCACAAUGAUCACUUUCCCCAAAGCAACCUGGAGAUAAGGAUUUCAGUAUGAGUGCUUUUCCUGGGAGGUGAUUCUAAGAAACAUCAGUAGGAAACACAUCUUGGAAUAGCUGCUGAAGUCCCAAGCUCCGUCACUCUGGCUAUGUCCCUGGACAUGCAGAGCUAAUCCCAGCCUCCUCCACAUCGUGGGACUCUAUGCUCUUCUGAAUGGUAGACAACCAGGGGGCACCUGGCCU